CCGCCAUGGAUCAGCCCCACCCCCAUGCCUCCGCCUCCCCCUCUCCGCGUGUGCCCCCACAUCCGUCCAAUCCGCCCGCGAAAGCAGCAGAUAGGCGACCUCCUAUGGCGACCCCAUCCACGCACGCCCAACCCCACCUUCGCAAAACCUCCACGCGCCAAUGCCUCAUCCACACAUGCGGAGCCCUGCCUCCGCGAAAUCCCCGCCCACCUGCGUCGGAUAGGCGACAUUCACAACCUCCGCGACCUGCUAUGGCGGCUCCGUGACAUCCACGCCGAUAACACUGCAUCCUCUGCCUCAGCCUCGUCCGUUGGGUGCCGCUCUGCUUCCCUUGUUGUCGUGCGUUGCACGAGUCGAGCGCACGCUGCUUGCUACUCGGCUGGUCGUCGAUGACCAUGGGGCACUUCGUCAACUCCAUGGAUCCAACGUCGGGGGUGUAGGUGAUCAGGGACUGGAACAACAUCGUCUAGGUCGUGCUCCGCUCGCCCAAGGGAGCUUCCGAGCGGGUAUGGACUGGCGGACUGUGAUGUCACCCUCUCCUCUCUUCAUCUUGUUGGGUGAUCGAUCGAAUCUGCAUUGCUUGUUUGGUCAUGGUUUUGACGGGUUUUGCCAUCUGGCUAGACUGCCUGAUUUGCUUCGCAGGUGAGCCUGUACGGCGGCCAGGUCGUCUCAUGGAGGAACGACCACGACGAGGAUCUCCUCUUCAUCAGCAGCAAGGCUGUAUAUUCCUGAAACCGACACCUGCGAAAAGAUAUGAGUUCAACCGGGCUGCAAAGAACAAAACUGAAUUGUAUUAAUUUAUAACUGACAUCAAGCGUCUUGUGGCAUCGUCAGCUACUAGAUAUGUAGAUGGCGCAUAAUGGUUUGAAUGGGGCACUGGCUUGGAGACCAAUCAAAAUCUAUAGGGCUCUCAAUGUCUGUACUAACUAUCCUUGUGUUCACAUAAAGUUAGAUUUCUCUAUCCUCGUAUUUGUUUGUUCUUGUACUAUGUAUUGUAUAGAGACAUUGAAGACUAAAGCCAUGAAUUUGUUUUCUCAUUUA